AUGAGCAUCAGGUGCUUUGGGUGUGGAUGGUUUGGCCACUGGCCCAGAGAAUGCCCUACUGGUGAUGAACGGGGUUAUAAAGUAAGAAGCUGUGACCGAGGUGGUUUACUUUGGAUAGAGGUUUCAGUUUGUUUUUUCAUCGCUACCAGACAUCUGCGGGGCCGUGGGUGAAGGUAAGCUUGGUAGUCUUGCCAAGAUCUGUGAUCUCUAGGAGGAUGUCUUCUACUUUUGGUAAAGGUGGCUGGCUCCGUUGCUAAGAACUGUAAAGAAAAAGAUUAGUUCUGCUAUAAUCCUGGCAAAGGCAGACCAUCUUGCUGUGACCAUGACCACUCAGAUGAACAGUUCUGUUCUUGUGGUAAAUUUAGACACAUUCAGGAAGACUGCACCAAAGUGAAGUACUGUCUGGGCGGUGAAACUGGUCACAUAUUCAUCUAUUGCAGUAAAACAACUGCUUCAGUGGGUCAGGGAGUCUUGAACAUGAAUGCAUAGUACAAGGGCU
rnacentral:lncRNA from 1 species